rnacentral:lncRNA from 1 species
GGAAGCUCCUUUCAGAUAGAGACAAGGGAUAUUUGACUUCUUAUCUCUGUUGUCCAGCACAAUGUCCAGAACACAACAGAUAUUCCAUAUGCACAGUCACAUGCUAUGUAUGUGUAUUUUCUUUCCAGAAAGGACUAGAGGUCCUAAGCUUUGUUAAUAUCAUGAGCCAGUGCCCACAUGAGCAGGAGAAUUUUAGCACAGUCACCUACACACUCAUUUCGAUGCUCUGACCCCUUAUCCAAGCCAGUCAAAGUGUGGUCUAUGGUUUUGCAUUUUAAAGAGAUCCCUGGGUGAAUCUUGUGCAUGUUACAGGGAAGCACUGUCCUACAUCCUAUGUGACAGGCUCUCAUAGUCACCAUCAUCAUGGGAAUCUUGCACAUGUUACAGGGAAGCACUGUCCUACAUCAUAUGUGACAGGCUCUCAUAGUCACCAUCAUCACGGGAAUCUUGCACAUGUUACAGGGAAGCACUGUCCUACAUCGUAUGUGACAGGCUCUCAUAAUCACCAUCAUCAUGUGAUCUUGUGCAUGUUACAGGGAAGCACUGUUCUACAUCGUAUCUGACAGGCUCUCAUAGUCACCAUCAUCACGGGAAGCUGCAUUUAGAGCAUUUAACUGUAUGGGCUCUGAAAUCAGAUGACUUAGGUUUGGGCUUGCCUCUACUUCUUACUAAGCAGAGAACUUUGGGGCAUGAUACUUAAUUUUACUAGGCUCAGUUUUAUCAUGUGUAAAUUGGAGGCAAGGGGAAAUUAUAGCAUUUUGCAUAGAAUAUUGUUUUAAGUAUGAA